CAACGCCUUGGUCCUGAACUUAAUAUUAUUUAAGGUUGGUUUUAUACAUGCAAGUAUCUGCACCCCAGUGCUUAUUGCCCAUCCAUAAUCCACGGAGCAGAUAUCAGGCACACUACUCAGCAGCCCACGACAUCUAGCCUUAGCCACACCCCCACGGAACUCAGCAGUAAUAAACCUUAGGCCAUGAGCCCCACCUUAAGCUCGACCUAGACACAACCUAUUUAAGCCGGUAAACUCCCGUGCCAGCCACCGCGGUUAUACGAGGGACUUAAAAUAAUACUACACGGCGUAAAACGUGACUAGAAAUAAAUUUAUAAUCCAGAGGCUGCAGCACGAGUAAAGUUGUAGAAUACACAUACUGCCAAGCAACAUCGCACCUCAACUUACAAAUUUUUUUGACCACACGAAAUCUGGGAGACAAACUGGGAUUAGAUACCCCACUAUGCCCAGACGUAAACUUUGAUAGAACCACAUCACAAAUCUAUCCGCCAGGGGACUACUAGUAACUAACUUAAAACUCCAAGGACUUGACGGUGUUCCAUACCAUCCUAGAGGAGCCUGUCCUAUAACCGAUAAUCCACGUUUUACCUCACCCUCUCUUGCAAUUCCAGUCUAUAUACCGCCGUCGCCAGUCUACCUUUUGAAAGCAAAAAUUAGUAGACAAAAUAGUACCUUCACUAACACGUCAGGUCGAGGUGUAGCUAACGAGAGGGAAGAGAUGGGCUACAUUGUCUUCAUUAAUAGACCCCACCAUCAACUACAUGAAAUAAUAGUUAUAAGUCGGAUUUAGUAGUAAACCAAGGCAAGUCAUGCCUGAUUGAAGAACGCUCUGGAACGCGUACACACCGCCCGUCACCCUCCUCAAUAAACAACCACUAUUCAAUAACUAAAACACGACACAACAUUUAGAUGAGGCAAGUCGAAACAUGGUAAGUGUACUGGAAAGUGCACUUGGAAA
rnacentral:ncRNA from 1 species